GUGGAUGUAGCUCAGUUGGCAGAGCACCGGGUUGUGGCCCCGGGUGUCGUGGGUUCGAGUCCCAUCUUCCACCCCA
rnacentral:tRNA from 1 species